rfam:Picea glauca, whole genome shotgun sequence.
GGGUGAAAUCAUACCAACGUUAAUGCACCGAAUCCCAUCGAAACUCCACAGUUAAGCGCACUUGAGCUAGAGUGGUACUGGGAUGGGUGACCUCUUGGGAAGUUUUAGUGUUGCACCCU